rnacentral:lncRNA from 1 species
UGAAGAAUGUAACUUACUGCCUUAAACGAGUUUGCAACUUGGCUUACACUUGUAUAUUGUACUAAAAAGACAAGCCCAACGACCUUCAAGGUCGCACAUCUCUUGGUUCAAUCUUAUACACUUUUUGCUUACGUUUUGAACCUGAAUAACACUGAAGAUAACUAGUCAUUAAUGAACAUGUCUAAGUGAUAAAAAACUUAAAAAGCACAAGCAAUAACAUAUUAAAAUAGGAGCUGGAUUGUGUUUCCGUCCCCUCAUUAAUCAAGGCCUCUCACAUAAAUGGCAAAUACAAACUGUUGCACUUUAUAUGUGCAACCAUAAAAAGAUGCUACUUCACAAUGCUUUAAAAUAAAUUCCUUAAAAUAUAUUUAACCAUACGAACCCUAAAUUUUUUGCUCCUAAAAGAUUAACAACUUCAAAGAGUACAUUUAUUGUUGGUUAAUGAAGUUGCUUGGACAGAUGCAAAAGUGGAACAAAUAGUGAAAUAAAUAUCCAUAUGAAGUUUAAAAACCAGAGUAAUGUAGAAAUUGGGACCUAGCAGAAGAAAUAUUUCCACAAACUUAAGAAAUAUUACAUUUUAACAUACAAAUCUUUGAAACUUUAUUUUCAACAAUUCGUGGAUGUUAUUUCAUAAUUUCAAUGUUAGAAGUUUUGACAUUUGUUACAUUCUUUUUUUAAUAACUAAGAAAUACCUGAGGAUUAGCUGAUGCACGGAGGUCGCAAGAGCUUUUAUGAAACCGGAAAGAAUGACAAUAGAAGUAUAGAACUAGGAAGCACCCGACCGGACUAAUAAGAAGGUAAUAUAAUCAAUUAGGUGAUUAGCUGAUGCACGGAGGUCGCCGGAGCUUUUAUGAGCGUUGCUCUUUUGCUCGUGUUAUUGCUAAGCAGAAAGUGAAGACUGAAAACCCUUCUAUUUUUUGGUGAAGAUUGAAGAGAAGUGGGCUGAAGAAGGGAGGAAAAUAGGGUUAGCCAGGGACUUAACUUAAGAAGUAAACGGAAAGGGUAGUAUUAUAAAAUAAGGGUAUAUUUGUCUUUUUGGUAUUUUUAUUGGUUUAUCGAUAAAUCGAAAGGAAAAAUCGAAUCGAAAUCGAUAACUCGAUAAGUAAAAUUUCGAAAUCGAAAUCGAUAAACCGAUAAACCGAUAUCGAUAAAUCGAAAACAAAUAAUCGACUCGAUUUAUCGAUAAAUCGCACACCCCUAAUAAUAUUCCAGGUUAAGAAAGGUAUGUAUAACUGACAUCUUUAAAAUUUUAAUUGACGAUGGUUGAAUGGUUUUCAUAAAUGAAA